rnacentral:rRNA from 1 species
GGUAACGGCCCACCAAGGCUAAGACGGGUAGCUGGUCUGAGAGGACGACCAGCCACACUGGAACUGAGACACGGUCCAGACACCUACGGGUGGCAGCAGUCGAGAAUUUUUCACAAUGGGGGCAACCCUGAUGGAGCGACGCCGCGUGGAGGAUGAAGGCCUUCGGGUUGUAAACUCCUGUCAUGCGGGAACAAGCAAGUGAUAGUACCGCAAGAGGAAGAGACGGCUAACUCUGUGCCAGCAGCCGCGGUAAUACAGAGGUCUCAAGCGUUGUUCGGAUUCAUUGGGCGUAAAGGGUGCGUAGGUGGUGACGCAAGUCUGGUGUGAAAUCUCGGAGCUCAACUCCGAAAUGGCACCGGAUACUGCGUGACUCGAGGACUGUAGAGGAGAUCGGAAUUCACGGUGUAGCAGUGAAAUGCGUAGAUAUCGUGAGGAAGACCAGUUGCGAAGGCGGAUCUCUGGGCAGUUCCUGACACUGAGGCACGAAGGCCAGGGAGCAAACGGGAUUAGAUACCCCUGUAGUCCUGGCAGUAAACGGUGCACGUUUGGUGUGGGCGGGUUCAGACCCCGUCCGUGCCGAGCUAACGCGUUAAACGUGCCGCCUGGGAAGUACGUCGCAAGAUAA